UGGAGAGUUUGAUCCUGGCUCAGGACGAACGCUGGCGGCGUGCUUAACACAUGCAAGUCGUACGAGGACCAGUGGUGCUUGCACCGCUGUAGCCGAGUGGCGAACGGGUGAGUAACACGUGACCAACCUGUCUUCAGGUGGGGGACAACCUGGGGAAACCCGGGCUAAUACCGCAUGACGUCCGCGGACUGCAUGGUCUGCGGAUCAAAGGAGGCCUCUGCUUGCAAGCUUCCGCCUGAAGAGGGGGUCGCGACGUAUCAGCUAGUUGGUAGGGUAACGGCCUACCAAGGCUACGACGCGUAGUGGGUCUGAGAGGACGACCCGCCACAUUGGGACUGAGAUACGGCCCAGACUCCUACGGGAGGCAGCAGUGGGGAAUAUUGCGCAAUGGGCGAAAGCCUGACGCAGCGACGCCGCGUGUGGGAGGAAGCCCUUCGGGGUGUAAACCACUGUCAGGGGGG
rnacentral:rRNA from 1 species